AUCAAAGGGAAGCAAUAACUAGAGAGUUGGGCUAUUGUAUCUUGGAGGCGGCGUGCUAGACCUUCUAUAUGCUGACUCAAGAGAGUUCAAGAGGACGAACUAGGGAUAAAGUGAAGGGUUGCAAUUAAUUGGGUGGAAAAUAAAGAAAGUAAGGGGAAAUGCUGUCCGAUCUUUGAAAGCAUGUAAUUGCUUUGAGUUUGAGUUGAAGGGCUUGAGUUUGCUCUAUGACAUUGUCUAUAAUGGAUGAGAUUCAUGAGCCGUGGUUGGUGAGUGACCCCAAACUAUUUCCAAAGCUACUUAUGAACUGUUUCUUGCAUUAUUUACUCGAUUGCAUAUCCUGUGUGCUUGCAUGUGAGUUCAUGACAUGAUUUGGGUUCAAUGAGUUCUUGGGAAGUCUUGUGCUUAGAACCAACAUCUCCACCACUGUUUACUGUUCAUCUGGAGCACCAACGGGCUCCCUAUCACUGAUUCAUUGUUAAUUGAUCUAUUUGAGCAUUGGAUAUUUAAGUACAAUGAUUUCACUAGCUCACGAGAGCAAUAAACGAACUUUUGAUUACUGAG